rnacentral:rRNA from 1 species
UACAGAGGUCUCAAGCGUUGUUCGGAUUCAUUGGGCGUAAAGGGUGCGUAGGCGGCGCGGUAAGUCGGGUGUGAAAUCUCGGGGCUUAACUCCGAAACUGCAUUCGAUACUGCCGUGAUUGAGGACUGGAGAGGAGACUGGAAUUUACGGUGUAGCGGUGAAAUGCGUAGAUAUCGUAAGGAAGACCAGUGGCGAAGGCGGGGUC